rnacentral:lncRNA from 1 species
UCUCUAAUCGUUUAAAUUUUCAAAUGAGGUAGUUCAACAAUAACUACUAAGUACAAAAUAGAUUUUCAACUCCCUCGGUACAAUUUCCCGUAAAAUAAUAUCAACAAUUGGUAUCAAGUUUAUAGUGCUCAAUUUUCUGAACUAAAUUUAGAAACACAUUCCUCUACCACUAAAAAUGUAACAAAGAUAAGUUGCACCACAAGAAAAGAAGUAUCAUUAAAGUCCCGCCAUCUUGUAAAGCUAUUUAAUUGACAAUUCUUUUUCACUUCAUAACUUUCGAGAAUUUGGUAAACUAGCUAGCUAGCUAGAUAAUAAUCGACCUUCUUCAAUGACUGUAUUAUAGUCGCAUUGAGAAUGGAGUUGGCUAGCUCUUCAUUCAAUUUAGAAAAUAGAGGCAUCAUCUUCAUUGUUGGAGUCAUGUUGUUCAAGCUGCAAAUUUCACACUAUGAAUCGGAAAUGUGAUUGAUAAUGGAAAUUAAAGCGCAAUAUAUCACUAAAUAAAAUGAAAAAAAGAAAAAAUAGGAAACAGCAUCAAGAUUCAGGAUGAGAUUUGCAGCUUACUUGUUCAAGGUUUUGAAGAUGUUGUCUAAAGCUUGACGCAAUAGACCGAUGUUCUCGCGUACUCUAGAAAAACUUUUGACAAUGGGAGAUCUCACACUUCUCUGAUUUUCUCACGUACUUCCUAUUUUAAGGCAGAAAACUUGCGGACUUAUUACAAACCUAGCAAUGCCUUAACCUUUUAUCUUGGAAAUAUUAAAGAGAACAGCCCCUUAGUUUUUAUUUCUCCCCUCUUCUGAGCAUUGUGCACGACUUUUUCCUUAGGAAUCUAAAUUUGACUUCACUUUUUAAUUUCUCAUUCCUCUCCAAUAUCUAAUGCUUGUCAAUUUCAUCAAAAUCUCACAUCUGUCACUGCUCAGCUCCUUGAUGCCGACGACAAGCACAAAUAUUUAGCCCCCUGACCACCUCUCUUCUCAUUUUUCAAGUCUCAACCUGCACUUACUAUUACGUUGUUUAAAAACAUUAAAAAAUAAAAUAAAAAUAAAAAUUCCAACUCACCUUUUGAUCCUACUAUAGAAAAUAUUGACUUUGCUACUCAUGCACGGAUACAGUAUGAUUGGCUAUUUGGCUUAGCUUAUUG